GGCCUGAGGUGCUCUCUACAGGCUGCUGUAAGUCCAGGGGGCUGGGCGCCUGGGGAUGCGGCUCCUGCACGUGGACACCAUCUUGAGUUCCAGAGGCUGCCUGGGCAGGAAGGGGCUCUGCAGGUGCCUCACAGUGCAGGUGUGUGCUGGUGUUGAGGCCAUGGAGGGAGAGUUAGGCCUGUGGUGUGGGGAUCUCCGUUUCUUGGCUCAGUCCGUUGGUUGGCACAGUUUACCUGGGCUUUGCUGAAUUCCAACAAUACCUCUUGCAGAGACUGGUCUGAGUCCUCAGCAUUUGCUGUGCCCAGGUCUGAGUCAUAGGACAUGGGCUCCUCGCAAUGGUCUGGACUCUUGGAGCCAUUCUCUUGGAGUAAGCAGCUAUCAGAGUUUAGGCUGCAGGACAGCUGGGAUGAACUGGCCGUGUCCAGGCUGAGGGAGGAGGCAGUCGGCUUCUGGUUCCUCCGUAUCUUAUGGCCCGAGUGAUGGACUUCGAUGUCUUCAGAGCCUGAAGAAUGGGAAAUGGAAUCCAGAGAUUCCUUCCGCUGUAGUU
rnacentral:lncRNA from 1 species